rnacentral:snoRNA from 13 species
GGGUAAUGAUGUCUAAUCCUAUUCCAUUGCUGAAAGCCCAAUGUGGAAAAAGACCAGCUGAACCC